rnacentral:siRNA from 1 species
GUUGCUGAAUACUGUGUGCGUGAC